GCGACGUCCGUCCGAUUUUCGUUACGGAGUGCGAAAUUUUUAUAAUUUUUCAAUUGUAUUGUUUGUUCCCUUUCUGGCUAUGGUGCUAUGGAUGCUGCGGUUGUCCUGCGCCUGUGACACACGACUGAGCAGUGGGACACGUGGCGGGGCUAUAGCUAUUAGGAAAAACGAUUUCCUUGACGCUGCUAAUAGAAAUCUUGC
rnacentral:lncRNA from 1 species